rnacentral:rRNA from 1 species
CCCUUAGAUGUUCUGGGCCGCACGCGUGCUACACUGAGUGGAUCAGCGGGUCAGGUUGCGCGAAAGUGUUUCCUAAUCUUUAAAUCCGCUCGUGAUGGGGAUUGACGGUUGCAAUUUUCCGUCAUGAACGAGGAAUACCUUGUAAGCGCGGGUCAUCAUCCCGCGCUGAAUACGUCCCUGCCCUUUGUACACACCGUCCGUCGCUCCUACCGAUUGAGUGGUCCGGUGAGGCUUUGGGAUCUGAGCGGAAAGAGCGUUUCGCUGUUUCUGCCCGGAAAGCUCAGUCGAACCUUAUCAUUUAGAGGAAGGAGAAGUCGUAACA